GCGGGGCUCCGGUGGGGUCCGCCCGCCCCGCGGCAGCCCCGGCGCUGUUCUGCUUCCUGGUCACCAGCUCCCUGCGCACUGGGCUUUGUCGCACAGGCCGCCCUGGCUCCUCCUCUCACUCCUCCCCGCCGGGCCAGGUAGCUAUCGGUCUUCUGCAAUAACAGACUGAUAAAAUGACGCAUGGAAAGAUUCCCGAGAAGCUAUGGAGUGUGACUCUGCAUGCAACUCUGUCCCAGUCCGAGAUCGCCUGUGUCUUUGUUGUUCCUUGUCAGAAAACUGUUGAAACUGUUUCUGGAUACUGAAUGACAUCUGUAGAUGAUUAUUCUGAAGGGUACUAUUUUGGACUUCCUGUUGAAACUCUGGUCUAUGAUGGCUUAGCCAGCUGAAUUGCAGAAGACAAGUUUCUGGAGACUGAACAGAAGGAAUGCAAGGAGGAACCACUGAAGAUUUUGUAUUAGGUGAUUGUGGAUGACUGCCUCUGGCACUGGGGAAGCGUUGAUCUUUGGGAAAUUAACUUUACCGUCUGGCCAGAAGUGUUUCCUCUUCUUAAGAUUCGGUUUUACUUAUUGAACAGUCCGUGUGUGUGCACCUUCCUUGUGGAGGGAGAGCAGGCUGGAAAUUUGUACCAAUAUUUGCUUUUGCAUGCACCAACACUUCUGUUAUCUGACGGAAUACUGUGCUUACUGCAAAAAUUUCUAGAAAACAACUAUGUCAUGCAGAACACAGGAAUGAUCAUAAAUUAAGUCUUCCUGAUUUCUGUAGUGCUACGAGAAGGGAUACAAGAGGGUAGUUGUACACUCCCAGUUAGUCAGUCCUGGUUUCGGUUGUGUGGAGAUUCCUAUAAGACAUGAAAAUCUCGAUUGUUUAAGCUGUUAAGAUCUGACAGAACAGGAGGGAGGCCUUUUUUUUUUUUAGCAGAACAAAUCACACACUGUUUAAACAAACACUUCCCACACACUGAAAGACAGCUAAAGGUACUGUAAGUUUAUUACGACUUUUUUGAAAAAAUGUUUCAAAAUUUUUGUGUCUAAAUUAUUUUUCUUUUCAUUUAUUUUGAAGUGCAUACCUAAAGUGAGUUCUUGUAACAGCAAAUAUUUCCCUCUUUCGGUUAAGUUUGUAGAAAUUGUAGGCUCUCUGGAGCUACUUUUCUCUAACUUUUUUUUUGGAGGUGUUAUCAUCUUAACAGGAACAUUGUUAACAGUGGACUUGCAGACUGCUUUAGAAAUUCGUGUAUUGGGCUACAUACUGACUUAGGAAAUGUCUCAAAACAACAUACACUUCGCUGGUACUUGUCCACAAAAGCUCCUGUAGAAAUAGAUGACCUUACAGAAUCUCUGCAAGAUGCGGGAUGAUUGUAGUGGUGCGUAUUGCCUCUGAGUCGUAAGCUGUACACCAGCACAACACAAGGGUUAAGGACAAGGUAAAAUCACUUUCUGCUGUUUUGAUUUCUUGAGAGAUUAUUGUUUUUACGCAAGAAAUGGGGAGUGGGGUUCCUUGUGUGAGGACUGUUCUGUGCCAGAAGUUGAAGGCAUGGGCCAAAAGUGUUCCUGUCAACUGUGGUGCCAUUCAUAGCUUUUGCGUCAGAAUCUUGAAUUUGGAUACAAAGAUCUCCGUUGUAGAAGCCCCAUCUUGUGGACAACCAAUCAAUGACUACUUCAGCACAACUGAGAUUUGAAAUACGGAGAAAAUAUGAAGGUAUUUUGGUAGUCUUUGCAAUAAAAUGGAGAGUCUUCAUGUUGCUGGACAAUAUGGAAACUUCAUUCAUGUGUAGAAAUUGGCAUAUGCUUUUUGAAGGCUAUUUCCAAAGGUAAGAAACAGUGAAAUGCAGAGAGGUGAUAAACCGGGAUGGAAACAAGGAUGUUGUCCCCAGAACUCUUGUUUUAAGUCUGAAUCAGCUAAAACAAGCCUGAAUCCUGCCUUGAAUUUCCAGAAUAGUUUCCUUUAGCAUUUGUAUAGUAUAAAUGAGUCUUUGGGUGGCAAAAUCAUAUAGGGGCAGAAGGACAUUCUGUGAAAAAAAAAUUGUUAAGACAGAAAGAAUAGUAAAGUAUGCAUGAAAGCUGAAUCGGGAAACUUUGGGAAUGUCCUUAAGGAGAUACUUGGUUUCAGCACAAGGUAAUGGAAAAGGGCAAGCAACU